rnacentral:rRNA from 1 species
CCUACGGGUCGCAGCAGUGGGGAAUAUUGCACAACGGGCGCAAGCCUGAUGCAGCCAUGCCGCGUGUGUGAAGAAGGCCUUCGGGUUGUAAAGCACUUUCAGCGGGGAGGAAGGCGAUAAGGUUAAUAACCUUGUCGAUUGACGUUACCCGCAGAAGACGCACCGGCUAACUACGAGCCAGCAGCCGCGGUAAUACGGAGGGUGCAAGCGUUAAUCGGAAUUACUGGGCGUAAAGCGCACGCAGGCGGUCUGUCAAGUCGGAUGUGAAAUCCCCGGGCUCAACCUGGGAACUGCAUUCGAAACUGGCAGGCUAGAGUCUUGUAGACGGGGGUAGAAUUCCAGGUGUAGCGGUGAAAUGCGUAGAGAUCUGGAGGAAUACCGGUGGCGAAGGCGGCCCCCUGGACAAAGACUGACGCUCAGGUGCGAAAGCGCGGGGAGCAAACAGGAUUAGAUACCCCAGUAGUC